GAGAGGCAGACGGGUGUUGUGAAUCCGGCGGCGGCGGCGGCGGCGAGAUGAAGCAUCGGAAAAUAGAAUCGCAAAAGAAGGUGUGGAAGUUUAUGCGUCUGAUGGGUAAGAAGAAGGAUAAAAAUAGGAAAGCAAAAAUGAGAUACCCGCCAUCGCCGCCGCCAGGUACCCUUCGUCCUCUACCCGUCAUCUAUAACAUUAACGGAGAUCCGGACGACAGCGUUCCUUACACCUUCAAACUUGUCCAAAAAAUUGCCCGAUUCGCUAUGCGUAUUUACAACAGAACUCAUGUAUGUAUAUUUCAAUUACGUAACUAAUUAAUUGAUUGAUGACGACAAAUACUGAUAUUAAUACUAAUGAAUGUGUCGUCCAUGCAUGCAUGUGCAGUUGGAUGAUUACGAAUUUGUGGAGCCGUUGUACGCAAUUGCACGAGGAUUCGCAGGUUAUAUGGUAACUCUGUUCUUUACAGCUAAGCCUCUGGAACCUCCUGCUGAUGGAUUAGUUCACGAGUAUCCCAUCAUCUUUCAAACUGAUGUUAACUUGGUUCAUCAUUAUGUCGACUAUGUUCGACUUAUCCCUCCUGCUGACCUCCCUCUAUAUCACGAGUAAUUUUUUUUUUCUUUUUUUUUCUUUUUUAUAAAUAAUUUUACUCUUCAUAUUAAUUCAUAUAAUAAUAUGAACUAGGUUUUUGACGAAAGAGAUGAUAGAGUUGGCGGCUUCUAAUUGUGAAUCCGGCGCGCGCGACUGAGGAUCGUGAGAAUAUAUCUAUCUAUCUGCAUGCUGAGGAGACUUGGGACUCAGUUCAUUCUACUUCAUUAUGAAAUAUCGCGUGAGUGCAAAGAUUCACUAGUAGAAAUUUUGCUUAUUACUAUGAAAUUUUGUUGCUACGGUAAAAAAACAUAAUAAAAGGUAUUUUUACCACGGAACAAUUUUAAAGUUCUAGUAAAUACUAGGAUUUACCAUAGUACUGCCAUUUACUGUAACAAAGUUUUUGUCCCUUGUUCGUUGAAAUUAAAUUAAUAACAUCGCUCAAAUAAUAAUUUAUUCCGA